rnacentral:rRNA from 1 species
GACGAACGCUGGCGGCGUGCUUAACACAUGCAAGUCGAACGGCAAGGCCCUGCUUUUGUGGGGUGCUCGAGUGGCGAACGGGUGAGUAACACGUGAGUAACCUGCCCUUGACUUUGGGAUAACUUCAGGAAACUGGGGCUAAUACCGGAUAGGAUCCCCUGCUCCAUGGUGGGGGUUGGAAAUUCUCGGCUGUUGGGGAUGGACUCGCGGCUUAUGAGCUUGUUGGUGGGGUAGUGGCUUACCAAGGCUUUGAAGGGUAGCCGGCCUGGGAGGGUGACCGGGGACAAUGGGACUGAGAGACGGACCAGACGGGUACGGGAGGCAGCAGUGGGGAAUAUUGCACAAUGGGCGGAAGCCUGAUGAAGAAACGCCGCGUGCGGGAAGACGGCCUUCGGGGUGUAAACCGCUGUCGCCUGUGACGAAGCGUGAGUGACGGUAAUGGGUAAAGAAGCACCGGCUAACUACGUG